UGGCGAACGGGUGAGUAACGCGUGAGGAACCUGCCUCAAAGAGGGGGACAACAGUUGGAAACGACUGCUAAUACUGCAUAAGACCACAGCACCGCAUGGUGCAGGGGUAAAAACUCCGGUGGUACAGGAUGGACCCGCGUCUGAUUAGCUGGUUGGUGAGGUAACGGCUCACCAAGGCGACGAUCGGUAGCCGGACUGAGAGGUUGAACGGCCACAUUGGGACUGAGACACGGCCCAGACUCCUACGGGAGGCAGCAUG
rnacentral:rRNA from 1 species